rnacentral:rRNA from 1 species
AGCGAACGCUGGCGGCAGGCCUAACACAUGCAAGUCGAACGAACUCUUCGGAGUUAGUGGCGGACGGGUGAGUAACACGUGGGAACGUGCCUUUUGGUUCGGAAUAACUCAGGGAAACUUGUGCUAAUACCGAAUGUGCCCUCGGGGGAAAGAUUUAUCGCCAUUAGAGCGGCCCGCGUCUGAUUAGCUAGUUGGUGAGGUAACGGCUCACCAAGGCGACGAUCAGUAGCUGGUCUGAGAGGAUGACCAGCCACACUGGGACUGAGACACGGCCCAGACUCCUACGGGAGGCAGCAGUGGGGAAUCUUGCGCAAUGGGCGAAAGCCUGACGCAGCCAUGCCGCGUGAAUGAUGAAGGUCUUAGGAUUGUAAAAUUCUUUCACCGGGGACGAUAAUGACGGUACCCGGAGAAGAAGCCCCGGCUAACUUCGU